GUGGAAUGGUCUAGUUGGUUAUGACGACUGCCUAACACGCAGUAGGUCCCGAGUUCGAUUCUCGGUUCCAGUACU
rnacentral:tRNA from 1 species